UGAUAGGAAAAAGAAAUAAAAUUACAAAGACCAGUCUCAGCUAAUUUCCACAAAGUCAUCUUGACAAAGCCUAGUAUUGGGUUUUUGUUCCCCCACCUUCUGUACUGUACAUAACUUUAAUCCCCAACCACUGUUCAUCAACCUGUAAAAAAUGUAGAGGGA